rnacentral:sRNA from 1 species
ACGUUCGAUAAAUUUGACAGUUUAUUAGCGCAGGCUCAUCUCCUUUUGAGCCGUUCCCUGAGCCCAAAACUAUUCAUAGUUUUGGGCCUUUUUUU